rnacentral:rRNA from 1 species
GCAAGAUACCACGGGCGCACGGCGGAUGCCUUGGCACAGGGAGCCGAUGAAGGACGCGGCAAGCUGCGAUAAUCCCCGGCGAGGAGCACACAUCCUUCGACCCGGGGGUCUCCGAAUGGGCGAACCCAUCCGUAGCAGUACGGAUAUCCCGAUCCUGAACACAUAGGGGCCGGGAGGACAACCCGGGGAACUGAAACAUCUAAGUACCCGGAGGAGAGGAAAUCAAUCUCGAGACUCCCCGAGUAGCGGCGAGCGAAAGGGGACCGAUGGCCAAACCGUCGAGCGGGCAUACCCGGCAGGGGUUCCGCCGACGGGGUUGCAGGGCCGCGCAUCCGGGGGCUGCCGCCCCCGGGCGCAGGUCCGGCUGGGGAGCGGAACGGCAUGGGAGGGCCGGCCGCAGCGGGUGACAGCCCCGUACGCGAACCCAGACCGGACGGCGCGACGCGGUCCCUGAGUAGGGCCGGGCACGUGAAACCCGGUCCGAACCUGGGUGGACCACCAUCCAAGCCUGAGUACUACCCUGUGACCGAUAGCGCACCAGUACCGUGAGGGAAAGGUGAAAAGCACCCCGGGAGGGGAGUGAAACAGUACCUGAAACCGUGCGCCCACGAGCAGUCGGAGCACCCUUGUGGUGUGACGGCGUGCCUUUUGUAGAAUGAGCCAGCGAGUCGCUGGCGCGGGGCGAGGUUAACCGAAAGGGAGCCGUAGCGAAAGCGAGCCUUAACAGGGCGACUUGAGUCCCGCGCCGCGGACGCGAAGCCGGGUGAGCUAUCCGUGGGCAGGCUGAAGCGGGGGUAAGACCCCGUGGAGGGCCGAACGCACGUCGGUUGAAAACGGCGGCGAUGACCUGCGGAUAGGGGUGAAAGGCCAAUCAAACCCGGAGAUAUCUCGUUCUCCCCGAAAUAGCUUUAGGGCUAGCGUCGCGCGUUCACCGCCGGAGGUAGAGCACCGGAUGGACGAGGGGGCUUCGCCGCCUACCGAAUCCAACCGAACUCCGAAUGCCGGCGGCCCAGAGCGCGGCAGUCAGAGCAUGUGGGCUAAGCUGUGUGCUCGAGAGGGAAACAGCCCGGACCGCCCGCUAAGGUCCCCAAGUUCCAGCCGAGUGGCAAAGGAUGUGCGUCCGCCCAGACAACCAGGAUGUUGGCUUAGAAGCAGCCAUGCAUUCAAAGAGUGCGUAACAGCUCACUGGUCGAGUGGACAUGCGCCGACAAUACACGGGGCUAAGCUGGACACCGAAGCGGCGGGAUUUUAUCUAUAUAGAAUCGGUAGGGGAGCUUCCCAUGGGCGGUGAAGCCGCCGGGCGACCGGCGGUGGAGCGCAUGGGAGUGAGAAUGCUGGCAUGAGUAGCGAGAGACGAGAGAGUAACUCGUCCGCCGUGAACCCGAGGUUUCCUGGGCAAGGCUAAUCCUCCCAGGGUCAGUCGGGGGCUAAGGCGAGGCCGGUAGGCGUAGCCGACGCGCAGCAGGCAGACAUUCCUGCACCGCGCACGCGGCGCUACGACCGACGGGGCGACGGAUGGGGGUGGCUCGGCGGGGUUCUGGACGUCCCCGUGAUGGAGCGCGGCCCGCGGACCAGGGAAAUCCGGUCCGCACGAGGGCGAGGCUCCGGACGAAGCGAUCAAGCGAAGCGAGUGAGCCCGAGGUCCCUAGAAAAACCCCUAGGCAGGCGCGUGCGCGCCCGUACCGCAAACCGACACAGGUGGGUGGGUAGAACAUACCGAGGCGAUCGGGUCAACCAUGGUCAAGGAACUCGGCACAAUGGCCCCGUAACUUCGGGAGAAGGGGUGCCCGCGCGUACGUGAACCGGCUUGCCCGGGGAGCGGAGGCGGGCCGCAGUGGAGAGGCCCAAGCGACUGUUUACCAAAAACACAGGACUCUGCAGAAGCCGCAAGGCGACGUAUAGGGUCUGACGCCUGCCCGGUGCCGGAAGGUCACGCGGAGGAGUUAGCGCAUCGCGCGAAGCCCCGAAGCCAAGCCCCGGUAAACGGCGGCCGUAACUAUAACGGUCCUAAGGUAGCGAAAUUCCUUGUCGGGUAAGUUCCGACCUGC